UGGGGAAUAUUGCGCAAUCGGCGAAAGCCUGACGCAGCAACGCCGCGUGAGUGAUGAAGGCCUUCGGGUCGUAAAGCUCUGUCGGAGGGAACGAAUGCUCCUGAAGUUAACAGCUUCAGGAAGUGACGGUACCCUCAAAGGAAGCACCGGCUAACUCUGUGCCAGCAGCCGCGGUAAUACAGAGGGUGCAAGCGUUGUUCGGAAUCAUUGGGCGUAAAGGGCGUGUAGGCGGUAUGUUAAGUCAUGUGUGAAAUCCCUCGGCUCAACCGGGGAACGACGCAUGAAACUGGCAAGCUAGAGUACAGAAGGGGCAAUCGGAAUUCUUGGUGUAGCGGUGAAAUGCGUAGAUAUCAAGAGGAACACCUGAGGCGAAGGCGGGUUGCUGGGCUGAUACUGACGCUGAGGCGCGAAAGCUAGGGUAGCAAACGGGAUUAGAUACCCAAGUAGUCCCUGAGCGGGCUGGCAAGGCGCAU
rnacentral:rRNA from 1 species